rnacentral:tRNA from 1 species
AAAGACUUAGGAUAACAUUAGACCAAGGGCCUUCAAAGCCCUCAGUGGGAGGGAGAAUCUCCCAGUCUUUG